rnacentral:ncRNA from 1 species
AAGGAGUAAGCUGAAAAUCCUUAUUAAUAGAGUAAGUA